GGAAAAUUUAUCGCCAUUAUCAGGUCCACCAACAAUGGCACCAAGAAGCAGAUUUGGAUUUGGCGAAGAAGAGUACAGAAACUGGAAACCAUCAUUGCAAGAAACUCGAUUAGGGUGUGCAUGAAGCGACGGUACAGAGGAACCUCUGUGAUGAAUAUGCUGAGGGUCUUGUGGUGAAAUCCUUGAAGUCCCACAUCGAAUGGAUCCCCCAUUGGAGCUUAGGUAUUUUGCGUAUGUCAGAAGUAGAAACGCUGCUGAUGUUACAUAUUGCAGGUUGCUCUCGCUUCCUUUGAAAAAUAGUCCUCCUGCAAUUUUGCAGUUUCUUUGAGCAUGGCUUGUUUUCAUUCAAAUUAGCUUGUCUGUGUACUAUCUUCUUUUUGAUUCUUUGUGUACAUAGAUUUAUAGAUUUAUGUAUUUUGGAUUUCAUCUCUAUACUUUUAAAAUGUUUAUUUUAAUCCUUGUACCAUUAUAAAGUGACCAUUGUGGUAGUCUUUUUAUUUUCAUUUUUAUAUCAUCUUUUGAGGGAUCAAAACUGAAACUGUAGGGAUUGAAAUGGACACGUUGAAAGUAUAAAGGUCAAAACAGAUAAAUUAAAUUAAAACUGAAAGUAUAGGAAUUAAAGUAGUAUUUCAAUACAUUUAUUUACUUAUUUAUCAACUUGGCACUUGAGAGAAAGUAUUGGGUGGAUAAAUGUUGGGUAGCAAUCAUAAAUUAAUAGUAAAGGACAAAAAUUGUCUUUUUUAUAGGUCCAUAUAAUGAAAUAGACAUUUUGAGAGUCAUGGGCAAUAAUGUCUUUUUCUUGUUUUUGUUCUUGUAAAGUUUUAAGAACUAAAGUCAUUUUUUUUUUAAAUUCAGGGACCAAUAUGGAAAAAUGUUUGACAUUUAGGGACGAAAAUAGGUUUAAGUGUAUGUAAACAAAUGAUAAGGAAAUAGUUUAUAUUAUUGCUAACCAGGAGUAUAUUGACCACUAGAAGUGGAAGUUCCUGGAAUGAGGGAGCAUAUGUAAUUAUCUGAGUGUGCUUUAUAGAUUUGGAACUCCUCCGAACUUUGCACUAAGAAAUCCUGUGUCAUUGGUCCACAUCAUGAUAAAAUCAUCAAGCUUUAGUUUAGGAAUUAGAUUCUUGUCAGAAUUUUUCUUUUUUAUCAAGAGGGAGCAAAGACAAACCUGGGAGAGAAGGAUCUUGGUUCCAGGGCGCUUGUCGUCCCAGCUAAAAGUGUAGUCAUCUUCUUCGGCUCCUAGUAUAUGGCCAUUGGCCUGUAUAUAGCUUAAAUGUAUGCUGUUUUUUGAGGCUUUGUAAAUCCAUGAGGCAGCCCAUAGAAGCUCAUCCUGAUAUAAGUCAAUACGAACUCAGAAAAAAGAAUACCUUGAAGAAAAAAAAAAAGAUUGAAAACAAGUAGAUGGAUGGUUAUGUUAUCUUCUUACUUACAUUGUAUCCCGAGUAAGAACAGUAAAAUGGACAGACCACUGAAUGGAGUGAAUCACUGUAAGAACCUCUAUGCUUGUCUGCUAAAUCGAAUACCUGCAUUGCAUUAAAUGGGAAAUGUUCUUUGUUUAGAGCAUAAUGACAUGCAAUGAAUAUGAGGAAUGAGAGUAUGAUUUACUUUUAAGGCUGCGUCGAGUAAUUUGUUAGAAUAAGAAGGGUCAGAUGCUUUGAAGACGAUUGAAGCUGCAGCCAACGCAGCUGCGGUCUCUGCUGCUACAUCAGAGCCUGGGUUUUGAGCAGUUAUCUUAUACACAGUACGUGGCGUGUCCAUAUCUUCUGGCCUUUCCCAACAUUUAUGAUCGAGGUUUGGAUCUCCCACCUUCACACAAGUUUACUACUUACGUUAAAAACAUUCUUAUCGUAGUGAUUAUUAUUAUCUUAACCAUCACAUUCUUUUUCCUUUCCUCUCUCUCUCUCUCACAAAUUUGUUUACGUUCACUCUACUCACUUGAACAUAUAAGACAUCAGGUGCAGCAGUAGCAGCCUUCAAUAGAUAAUCCGACCCCCAACGAACUGCUGCUCUUGCAUUCUCAAUCUCAUUCCCCAUCGAGUCACCAAACUCAAUGACACUCCAAGCCAGCAAUGUAGUAGUAAAGGCCAUUGGCAAGCCAAACUUGACAUUAUCCCCAGCAUCAUAGUAGCCACCAACAAGGUCAACCUGCAAAAGUUCAUAUUCACAUCCCAUUUAUCAACUAGAUUAGCUCAUAGAAGUAACAAACAUCUCAAUAAGAAAACUGGGAGUAAGCACACAUGAUAGGAGGAGCCAUCUGAUAAGGCUGAAUCAGCCCUCCAUGUGAGACGUUGGUUAGAGGGCAGCUUCCCUGAUCGCUGUCCCUCAAAGAAAAGAAUAGAAUACUGAAGAGCAGUAGAAUAAUGUUCAGAAGUGAAAGCAGAGGAAGAAGAUAAGGUAAAGAGAGACAAAAUGAAGUAGAGAGCCAAAGUGAUUGAGAAAGACAUUGUUAUAUCGUUAUAAGUUAUAAUAUAACACACUCACUUGGAAUGGUGAAUGAAGUAGAGGGGAAGUGGGGGGUGUUAUUUAUAGAGAAAGAAGUUUAGUUUAAUGUUGGUUCAGAGAGAAAUUAUUCACGGGAUCAACUGCGCCAAAUUGGAAGUUAAUAGGUGAGGUAAAGACAAACCAACUUUACCGUUGGGAUUGGAUUGGAUAAAGGAAUGAGAAAGUCAGAGAGAAAGAAGAAAAAACUAAAGUAUUGAAUUGAAUUUAUGAGGGUAUUGUAUAGUAUUGAAAUUUUAGAAAAAGUGAGGCGUAAUUUACGUGGAAAAAAAGGAAGGUGGAGAAACUUUGGAUGCCAAAAUAAGAGGCGGAAAUACAGAAUUGAAUAUAGGAUCUCAGGAAUUUGUCUGUAUAUAUAAAAUGAGAAGUCACGGGUGUUCUUAUUUUUUCAGGAUGACUUUGCUUUGCUCAGCUCAGCUCACAUGAGUUUCUCUUUUGCUACCAACAAUACAAAAGGUGACCUGCCAAGCUUACGUGCAACUGUGGUCACAAUCUCACAGACAAAAACACAAGACUGUUAUUUGCUUCAUAUUAUGUACUUGGAUCCUCCAAUAAGGUUGUGCUUUGUGUUUUUGUUAAAGAAAAACCAACCGUUUGUCUUUUUGUUGUUGGCAUUGUUGAAGACACAAUGCCAAAUUGUUGGGUUUAUAAGAUCAGUUGUUUCAAGUUGGUUCAAAUAUUUAGGGAAUAUCAGCACUUGGUUGUUGGCUCAAA